GACGAACGCUGGCGGCGCGCUUAAUACAUGCAAGUCGAGCGAGAACCAGGGCUUCGGCUCUGGGGACAGCGGCGAACGGGUGAGUAACACGUGGGUAAUCAACCCCCGACACCGGGAUAGCCCAGGGAAACUUGGAUUAAUACCGGAUGCCCCGUCUGGCCUUCGGGCCGGCCGGAAAAGGGUAGCUUCGGCCUCUGGUCGGGGACGAGCCCGCGGCGGAUUAGCUUGUUGGGGAGGUAAAGGCUCACCAAGGCGACGAUCCGUAGCUGGUCUGAGAGGACGAUCAGCCACACUGGGACUAAGACACGGCCCAGACUCCUACGGGAGGCAGCAGUAGGGAAUCUUGCGCAAUGGGCGAAAGCCUGACGCAGCGACGCCGCGUGAGGGAAGAAGGCCUUCGGGUUGUAAACCUCUUUCAGGAGGGACGAAGCCACUCGGGUUAAUAGCCUAGAGGGUGACCGUACCUCCAGAAGAAGCCCCGGCUAACUACGUGCCAGCCGCCGCCGUAA
rnacentral:rRNA from 1 species